ensembl:misc_RNA Y_RNA Y RNA
GGCCAAAUAACUACAGUCAGUUACUGAUUGAACUCCUUGUUCUACUCUUUUUCCCCCUUCUCACUACUGCACUUGGCUAGUCUUAA